rnacentral:rRNA from 1 species
UACGUAGGGGGCGAGCGUUGUCCGGAAUCAUUGGGCGUAAAGAGCGUGUAGGCGGCUUGGCAAGUCUGACGUGAAAGCCCGCGGCUCAACCGCGGAUUGUCGUUGGAAACUGCCUUGCUAGAGUCCGGAAGAGGAGAGCGGAAUUCCUGGUGUAGCGGUGGAAUGCGCAGAUAUCAGGAAGAACACCCGUGGCGAAGGCGGCUCUCUGGGACGGUACUGACGCUGAGACGCGAAAGCGUGGGGAGCGAACAGG